GUGAAAACUAUCAGCAGUGAGAGAAAAAAAACGCGCCUGCAGGGCUUUUGAGGCUUUUGUGAAUUUCCACCUUCAAAAAAAGAAAAGAUAAAAAACUGGCAGAGCAAACUUAAUCCUGCUCCUACGGGGCAGGAGGAGGCCCGACACACAAGAAAGACCCAAGGAAGAACAGAGCGAGGGAGAAAAGAGCCUUCGGAACAGGAGAGAGCCUUGUUUCGUCCCGCUGUGACAUAAUCUCUCUUCAAAUGCAGCCUGCGAUGGAUGCGGCGCCUGAAUCGGGACACAGCUUAGUUUCAGGUGGAUUCGUCUGCUGUGCCGCGGCAACUUCUGGAACCUAAUGAGUCGACUUGUGAGGUAGUUUCUCAAAGUGGGAUGAUCAGGAUGAAGUAUUUCACAUUGGCCGCGGUGGCGGUAUGUAGCCACGCUGCCAAACACAAACCUCAGCACUCUGUUGUUCAUUAGGGCUUGUUGGUUUUUUUGUUUUUUUUGGGGGGGGGGGGGUUCUUGUUGUUGUUGUUUUCUCCUCCAUUAAGUGUUGCCUGGGGGACCAACUGGUUCCCCCUGAUUUAUCACUGUAUUUCACGAACACUCUUAAAACAGCAGGAUGGUUACAAAUAGUCAGGAUCCUGCAAAUGACCAAAUAAAUAAA